rnacentral:lncRNA from 1 species
GUUGAACUACUGAAUAUUUAUUUAUUUUUCUUUAAAUUUUAUUUAAGUUAGUAAAUCCUAUUAAUGAGAAUUCAAUGAUGUUUGUUAUCCUAACAACUAUGAGUCGUGGUUGUUAUAUAUAGUAAGUUUUUUUGGGAGGAUGGACCAACGCUCUUUUGUGAGAUUGGUAUAACUCUUUUUGGAACAACAUUUCUCAUUGUUAGGAGGAUUGCAAGUGUAAUACGAGGCCUUUGAAUUUUCUUUUGGCUUCUUUCUUCUUAUGUUAAGGGUUGUGUGUAACACUCU